rnacentral:snoRNA from 1 species
UAGAUCAAUGACGAUGAUUGGUCGUUAUCAUUGAUGAGUCAUGGGUGAUGAAUAAUAUGUGUUUGAAACUCAGAGGACCAA